rnacentral:rRNA from 1 species
AGCAGCCGCGGUAAUUCCAGCUCCAAUAGCGUAUAUUAAAGUUGUUGCAGUUAAAAAGCUCGUAGUUGAAUUUCGGGAUCAAAGGAUCGGUCAUGCCUUGGUAUGUACUGGUUUUAUUGGUUCUCACCUUCUAAAGAACCAUAAUGUCAUUCAUUUGAUGUUAUGGGGAAUUAGGACUGUUACCUUGAAAAAAUUUAGAGUGUUUAAAGCGGGCUUACGCUUGAAUACAUUAGCAUGGAAUAAUGAAAUAGGACAUCAGAUUCUAUUUUGUUGGUUUCUAGGAUCGAUGUAAUGAUUAAUAGGGAUAGUUGGGGGCAUUAGUAUUCAAUUGUCAGAGGUGAAAUUCUUGGAUUUAUUGAAGACUAACUACUGCGAAAGCAUUUGCCAAGGAUGUUUUCAUUAAUCAAGAACGAAAGUUAGGGGAUCGAAGACGAUCAGAUACCGUCGUAGUCUUAACCAUAAACUAUGCCGACUAGGGAUCGGAUGAUGUUAAUUUUAUAAUGACUCAUUCGGCACCUUA